UACAGGGGGGGCAAGCGUUGUUCGGAUUCAUUGGGCGUAAAGGGUGUGUAGGUGGCGCCGUAAGUCGGGUGUGAAAUUUCGGAGCUUAACUCCGAAACUGCAUUCGAUACUGCGGUGCUUGAGGACUGGAGAGGAGACUGGAAUUCAUGGUGUAGCAGUGAAAUGCGUAGAGAUCAUGAGGAAGACCAGUGGCGAAGGCGGGUCUCUGGACAGUUCCUGACACUGAGACACGAAGGCCAGGGGAGCAAACGGG
rnacentral:rRNA from 1 species